rnacentral:rRNA from 1 species
AACGAACGCUGGCGGCAGGCCUAACACAUGCAAGUCGAACGAAACCUUCGGGGCUAGUGGCGCACGGGUGCGUAACACGUGGGAACCUGCCCUUAGGUUCGGAAUAACUCCCCGAAAGGGGUGCUAAUACCGGAUAAGGUCUUCGGGGGAAAGAUUUAUCGCCUUUGGAUGGGCCCGCGUUGGAUUAGCUAGUUGGUAGGGUAAAAGCCUACCAAGGCGACGAUCCGUAGCUGGUCUGAGAGGAUGAUCAGCCACAUUGGGACUGAGACACGGCCCAAACUCCUACGGGAGGCAGCAGUGGGGAAUAUUGGACAAUGGGCGAAAGCCUGAUCCAGCCAUGCCGCGUGAGUGAUGAAGGCCUUAGGGUUGUAAAGCUCUUUCACCGGGGACGAUAAUGACGGUACCCGGAGAAGAAGCCCCGGCUAACUUCGUG